CAAGAGACAAUCCCAACAGACACAAAGGCGCCAACAACAUCUCCACCUGCUCACUCCUCUUGUCUUAUAAAAAUAGCUUAUAUGCCCAAUGUCAUCAUGCCAAAGCUAUUGUCUUCUUAUGAAAAAUACAUAUAUUCGUUUAAAACCCAUUAAGACCCAAAUACUAAUUGUCACUCAUUUUAUAGUUAUUUCUACAAGUCUUCAUAUAUUUGUUUUAAAGAUCCGGUAAAAAU
rnacentral:lncRNA from 1 species